rnacentral:rRNA from 1 species
GGGUUGUGAGGUUAAGCGACUAAGCGUACACGGUGGAUGCCCUGGCAGUCAGAGGCGAUGAAGGACGUGCUAAUCUGCGAUAAGCGUCGGUGAGGUGAUAUGAACCGUUAUAACCGGCGAUUUCCGAAUGGGGAAACCCAGUGUGAUUCGUCACACUAUCAUUAACUGAAUCCAUAGGUUAAUGAGGCGAACCGGGGGAACUGAAACAUCUAAGUACCCCGAGGAAAAGAAAUCAACCGAGAUUCCCCCAGUAGCGGCGAGCGAACGGGGAGCAGCCCAGAGCCUGAAUCAGUGUGUGUGUUAGUGGAAGCGUCUGGAAAGGCGCGCGAUACAGGGUGACAGCCCCGUACACAAAAAUGCACAUACUGUGAGCUCGAUGAGUAGGGCGGGACACGUGGUAUCCUGUCUGAAUAUGGGGGGACCAUCCUCCAAGGCUAAAUACUCCUGACUGACCGAUAGUGAACCAGUACCGUGAGGGAAAGGCGAAAAGAACCCCGGCGAGGGGAGUGAAAAAGAACCUGAAACCGUGUACGUACAAGCAGUGGGAGCCUCUUAAUGGGGUGACUGCGUACCUUUUGUAUAAUGGGUCAGCGACUUAUAUUCUGUAGCAAGGUUAACCGAAUAGGGGAGCCGAAGGGAAACCGAGUCUUAACUGGGCGUUAAGUUGCAGGGUAUAGACCCGAAACCCGGUGAUCUAGCCAUGGGCAGGUUGAAGGUUGGGUAACACUAACUGGAGGACCGAACCGACUAAUGUUGAAAAAUUAGCGGAUGACUUGUGGCUGGGGGUGAAAGGCCAAUCAAACCGGGAGAUAGCUGGUUCUCCCCGAAAGCUAUUUAGGUAGCGCCUCGUGAAUUCAUCUCCGGGGGUAGAGCACUGUUUCGGCAAGGGGGUCAUCCCGACUUACCAACCCGAUGCAAACUGCGAAUACCGGAGAAUGUUAUCACGGGAGACACACGGCGGGUGCUAACGUCCGUCGUGAAGAGGGAAACAACCCAGACCGCCAGCUAAGGUCCCAAAGUCAUGGUUAAGUGGGAAACGAUGUGGGAAGGCCCAGACAGCCAGGAUGUUGGCUUAGAAGCAGCCAUCAUUUAAAGAAAGCGUAAUAGCUCACUGGUCGAGUCGGCCUGCGCGGAAGAUGUAACGGGGCUAAACCAUGCACCGAAGCUGCGGCAGCGACGUUUAUGCGUUGUUGGGUAGGGGAGCGUUCUGUAAGCCUGCGAAGGUGUACUGUGAGGUAUGCUGGAGGUAUCAGAAGUGCGAAUGCUGACAUAAGUAACGAUAAAGCGGGUGAAAAGCCCGCUCGCCGGAAGACCAAGGGUUCCUGUCCAACGUUAAUCGGGGCAGGGUGAGUCGACCCCUAAGGCGAGGCCGAAAGGCGUAGUCGAUGGGAAACAGGUUAAUAUUCCUGUACUUGGUGUUACUGCGAAGGGGGGACGGAGAAGGCUAUGUUGGCCGGGCGACGGUUGUCCCGGUUUAAGCGUGUAGGCUGGUUUUCCAGGCAAAUCCGGAAAAUCAAGGCUGAGGCGUGAUGACGAGGCACUACGGUGCUGAAGCAACAAAUGCCCUGCUUCCAGGAAAAGCCUCUAAGCAUCAGGUAACAUCAAAUCGUACCCCAAACCGACACAGGUGGUCAGGUAGAGAAUACCAAGGCGCUUGAGAGAACUCGGGUGAAGGAACUAGGCAAAAUGGUGCCGUAACUUCGGGAGAAGGCACGCUGAUAUGUAGGUGAAGUCCCUUGCGGAUGGAGCUGAAAUCAGUCGAAGAUACCAGCUGGCUGCAACUGUUUAUUAAAAACACAGCACUGUGCAAACACGAAAGUGGACGUAUACGGUGUGACGCCUGCCCGGUGCCGGAAGGUUAAUUGAUGGGGUUAGCGGUAACGCGAAGCUCUUGAUCGAAGCCCCGGUAAACGGCGGCCGUAACUAUAACGGUCCUAAGGUAGCGAAAUUCCUUGUCGGGUAAGUUCCGACCUGCACGAAUGGCGUAAUGAUGGCCAGGCUGUCUCCACCCGAGACUCAGUGAAAUUGAACUCGCUGUGAAGAUGCAGUGUACCCGCGGCAAGACGGAAAGACCCCGUGAACCUUUACUAUAGCUUGACACUGAACAUUGAGCCUUGAUGUGUAGGAUAGGUGGGAGGCUUUGAAGUGUGGACGCCAGUCUGCAUGGAGCCGACCUUGAAAUACCACCCUUUAAUGUUUGAUGUUCUAACGUUGGCCCCUUACCGGGGUUGCGGACAGUGUCUGGUGGGUAGUUUGACUGGGGCGGUCUCCUCCUAAAGAGUAACGGAGGAGCACGAAGGUUGGCUAAUCCUGGUCGGACAUCAGGAGGUUAGUGCAAUGGCAUAAGCCAGCUUGACUGCGAGCGUGACGGCGCGAGCAGGUGCGAAAGCAGGUCAUAGUGAUCCGGUGGUUCUGAAUGGAAGGGCCAUCGCUCAACGGAUAAAAGGUACUCCGGGGAUAACAGGCUGAUACCGCCCAAGAGUUCAUAUCGACGGCGGUGUUUGGCACCUCGAUGUCGGCUCAUCACAUCCUGGGGCUGAAGUAGGUCCCAAGGGUAUGGCUGUUCGCCAUUUAAAGUGGUACGCGAGCUGGGUUUAGAACGUCGUGAGACAGUUCGGUCCCUAUCUGCCGUGGGCGCUGGAGAACUGAGGGGGGCUGCUCCUAGUACGGAUGCGUUGAGCUAACCGGUACUAAUGAACCGUGAGGCUUAACCUUACAACGCCGAAG